GACGAACGCUGGCGGCGUGCUUAACACAUGCAAGUCGAACGGAAAGGCCCUGCUUUUGUGGGGUGCUCGAGUGGCGAACGGGUGUGUAACACGUGAGUAACCUGCCCUUGACUUUGGGAUAACUUCAGGAAACUGGGGCUAAUACCGGAUAGGAGCUCCUGCUGCAUGGUGGGGGUUGGAAAGUUUCGGCGGUUGGGGAUGGACUCGCGGCCUAUCAGCUUGUUGGUGGGGUAGUGGCGUACCAAGGCUUUGACGGGUAGCAGGCCUGGGAGGGUGACCGGCCACAUUGGGGCUGAGAUACGGCCCGGACUCCUACGGGAGGCAGCAGUGGGGAAUAUUGCACAAUGGGCGGAAGCCUGAUGCAGCAACGCCGCGUGCGGGAUGACGGCCUUCAGGUUGUAAACCGCUUUCGCCUGUGACGAAGCGUAAGUGACGGUAAUGGGUAGAGAAGCACCGGCUAACUACGUG
rnacentral:rRNA from 1 species